rnacentral:pre_miRNA from 1 species
UCAGUAACAAAGAUUCAUUCUUGUGUCAAUCACACAACAAGGAGAAUCUUUGUCACUUCAU